rnacentral:rRNA from 1 species
AUUGAACGCUGGCGGCAGGCCUAACACAUGCAAGUCGAACGGUAACAGGAAGCAGCUUGCUGCUUUGCUGACGAGUGGCGGACGGGUGAGUAAUGUCUGGGAAACUGCCUGAUGGAGGGGGAUAACUACUGGAAACGGUAGCUAAUACCGCAUAACGUCGCAAGACCAAAGAGGGGGACCUUCGGGCCUCUUGCCAUCGGAUGUGCCCAGAUGGGAUUAGCUAGUAGGUGGGGUAACGGCUCACCUAGGCGACGAUCCCUAGCUGGUCUGAGAGGAUGACCAGCCACACUGGAACUGAGACACGGUCCAGACUCCUACGGGAGGCAGCAGUGGGGAAUAUUGCACAAUGGGCGCAAGCCUGAUGCAGCCAUGCCGCGUGUAUGAAGAAGGCCUUCGGGUUGUAAAGUACUUUCAGCGGGGAGGAAGGGAGUAAAGUUAAUACCUUUGCUCAUUGACGUUACCCUCAGAAGAAGCACCGGCUAACUCCGUG